rnacentral:rRNA from 1 species
UUCCGGUUGAUCCUGCCGGACCCUACUGCUAUCGGGGUGGGACUAAGACAUGCGAGUUGAGCGUCUCUAAGCCAUGGUAGAGACGCGGCGUACGGCUCAGUAACACGUGGCUAACCUACCCUUAGGACGGGGACAACCCCGGGAAACUGGGGCUAAUACCCGAUAGGCGAGGAGGCCUGGAAUGGUUCUUAGUCGAAAAGGCGUUGAAACCAUGCUUUUCGACGUUGCCUAAGGAUGGGGCCGCGCCCGAUCAGGUUGUUGGUGGGGUAACGGCUCACCAAGCCUAUAACCGGUACGGGCCGUGAGAGCGGGAGCCCGGAGAUGGGCACUGAGACAAGGGCCCAGGCCCUACGGGGCGCAGCAGUCGCGAAAACUCCGCAAUGCGCGAAAGCGUGACGGGGCUACCCCGAGUGCCGUCCGCUGAGGAUGGCUUUUCUCCGGUGUAAUGAGCCGGGGGAAUAAGGAGAGGGCAAGUCUGGUGUCAGCCGCCGCGGUAAUACCAGCUCUCCGAGUGGUAGGGAUGAUUAUUGGGCUUAAAGCGUCCGUAGCCGGCUUAGCAAGUCUCCUGUUAAAUUCAGCGACCUAAUCGUUGAGCCGCGGGAGAUACUACUAGGCUAGGAGGCGGGAGAGGCCGACGGUAUUCUCGGGGUAGGGGUGAAAUCCUAUAAUCCCGGGAGGACCACCAGUGGCGAAGGCUGUCGGCUAGAACGCGCUCGACGGUGAGGGACGAAAGCUGGGGGAGCGAACCGGAUUAGAUACCCGGGUAGUCCCAGCUGUAAACGAUGCGGGCUAGGUGUUGGAGUGGCUACGAGCCACUUCAGUGCCGCAGGGAAGCCAUUAAGCCCGCCGCCUGGGGAGUACGGCCGCAAGGCUGAAACUUAAAGGAAUUGGCGGGGGAGCACCACAAGGCGUGAAGCUUGCGGUUCAAUUGGAUUCAACGCCGGG